rnacentral:rRNA from 1 species
CCUACGGGUGGCAGCAGUGGGGAAUAUUGCACAAUGGGCGCAAGCCUGAUGCAGCCAUGCCGCGUGUGUGAAGAAGGCCUUCGGGUUGUAAAGCACUUUCAGCGGGGAGGAAGGCGGUGAGGUUAAUAACCUCAUCGAUUGACGUUACCCGCAGAAGAAGCACCGGCUAACUCCGUGCCAGCAGCCGCGGUAAUACGGAGGGUGCAAGCGUUAAUCGGAAUUACUGGGCGUAAAGCGCACGCAGGCGGUCUGUCAAGUCGGAUGUGAAAUCCCCGGGCUCAACCUGGGAACUGCAUUCGAAACUGGCAGGCUAGAGUCGUGUAGAGGGGGGUAGAAUUCCAGGUGUAGCGGUGAAAUGCGUAGAGAUCUGGAGGAAUACCGGUGGCGAAGGCGGCCCCCUGGACAAAGACUGACGCUCAGGUGCGAAAGCGUGGGGAGCAAACAGGAUUAGAUACCCUUGUAGUC